ACGGAGGGUGCAAGCGUUAAUCGGAAUCACUGGGCGUAAAGCGCUCGUAGGCGGUUUGGUAAGUCAGAUGUGAAAGCCCUCGGCUUAACUGGGGAACUGCCUUUGAUACUGCUAGAAUUGAGUGUCGGAGAGGGUGGCGGAAUUCCGGGUGUAGGAGUGAAAUCCGUAGAGAUCCGGAGGACCACCAGUGGCGAAGGCGGCCACCUGGACGACAACUGACGCUGAGGAGCGAAAGCCUGGGGAGCAAACAG
rnacentral:rRNA from 1 species